UACGUAGGGGGCAAGCGUUGUCCGGAUUUAUUGGGUUUAAAGGGUGCGUAGGCGGCUCUGUAAGUCAGUGGUGAAAUAUGGCAGCUCAACUGUCAGGGUGCCAUUGAUACUGCGGAGCUUGAGUACAGAUGAGGUAGGCGGAAUUGACGGUGUAGCGGUGAAAUGCUUAGAUAUCGUCAAGAACACCGAUAGCGAAGGCAGCUUACUAGGCUGUAACUGACGCUGAGGCACGAAAGUGUGGGGAUCAAACAGG
rnacentral:rRNA from 1 species